UGCAAGUGUUAUCCGGAAUCACUGGGCGUAAAGCGUCUGUAGGUGGUCAAAUAAGUCAACUGUUAAAUCUUGAGGCUCAACCUCAAAAUCGCAGUCGAAACUAUUCGACUAGAGUAUAGUAGGGGUAAAGGGAAUUUCCAGUGGAGCGGUGAAAUGCGUAGAGAUUGGAAAGAACACCGAUGGCGAAGGCACUUUACUGGGCUAUUACUAACACUGAGAGACGAAAGCUAGGGUAGCAAAUGGG
rnacentral:rRNA from 1 species